ensembl:snoRNA LOC120097215 small nucleolar RNA SNORD44
UCUACAUGAUGACAAGUAAAUGCUGACAAAUGUGAAGAUUUUAAUUAGCUCUAUCUGAUGU